UCGAGAAUUUUUCUCAAUGGGGGAAACCCUGAAGGAGCGACGCCGCGUGGAGGAUGAAGGUCUUCGGAUUGUAAACUCCUGUCAUUGGUGAACAAGGCCAUCGGUUAACUGCCGUUUGGUUUGAUAGUAGCCGAAGAGGAAGAGACGGCUAACUCUGUGCCAGCAGCCGCGGUAAUACAGAGGUCUCAAGCGUUGUUCGGAUUCAUUGGGCGUAAAGGGUGCGUAGGUGGCGGGGCAAGUCUGGUGUGAAAUCCCGGGGCUCAACCCUGGAACUGCACUGGAUACUGCUUUGCUAGAGUACUGGAGAGGGAACUGGAAUUUACGGUGUAGCAGUGAAAUGCGUAGAUAUCGUAAGGAAGACCAGUGGCGAAGGCGAGUUCCUGGACAGUUACUGACACUGAGGCACGAAGGCCAGGGGAGCAAACGG
rnacentral:rRNA from 1 species